rnacentral:tRNA from 1 species
UAGCCUAGUGGUUAAGGCUAUGGAUCGCCAAUCCGGAGACGGCGGGUUCGGAUCCCGU